AGAUGCAGAAAGGAAGCCAAGGCUGAGAGAUGUGUGGUGAGACUUGCCUGAUGUAUGAUGAUGCAGAAACCUCAGGUCAGUAGCGAGGGUGGUCACUGUGCAUCAGUCUUUGUGCCUAUACUUCUCUGGUUUGCCAACAGAAGUUCAAAUUACAAUAGAAACCUACCCACUGAAGAUCAUAAAAUACUUAGUACCAAGUCUUUGAACUCUAGGAAUCUAGGACCACUUCGAGAUAGUUUGGUCUUUAUAUAGUCUGCCAAGCAAUGUACUUUGAGCUUCAGGUACCAUGUCCAAGGUGUUUAAGAUGUUCCAGCCAAAGACCUUCCCAGAAUUAGACACUGUUAAAGUUUCACACUGGUUUGUCCAAGAUGUGCAUAUUAUGUACAGUAUGGAUACAUGGAGUCAGUUAUCUCAAAGAAUCACAAUUUAUGUGGUGCUUAAACAUAUCUUUUUAAAAAUGAUGCAAAUAUACAUUUUCUAAUAUUGCAAAGAUGAUUAGUCUGUUACUGGAAAAGUAUACAUUUUAUACAGGUUGCUCAUUUCUUUUAUAACUGUAGUGUUUAGAACAGCCCUAACUGUUUUGUAAUGACACUUGUUCUGAGCUGAUCUCACACACUGAAGAUUUUUGAUCUUGGUAAUUAUACUUUUCUAUCAGUGUGCAUAGUACACAGUUGAGAACUGCAGCAUUUUUAAUAUAUAUAUAUAUAUAUAUUUUUAUAGAAUCAUAGACACCAUGUCUGGUUGCAAAUGUAACAACAAUUUAUUUCUUAUAAGUUCAAGGACUAAACAGUACCUAUAGGCAUCAUGGUACCAUGUAGAUUCAGGAAUGACCUAAGGGCUCCCACAGCCUACGUCGGUGCAAAGCAGGCAUGCAACAGAACACUGAAUUUCCUCUGUUGGUAAUUUAGGUUUGGAGGUAAUUGUUUCAGGAUGAAGCCAUCAAAGUUGAUUUAAGAAAUAUUCUAUUUUACCUGUGACAUUCAGAAAACUUUCUACUGCUUCUGCCCUCAUCCAUUUGUCUCCCCAUAUAAGUAAUUAAAAUUUCUGGAUGAAAUCUAAUGGUGAUGCAAGUUGUUUGUGUUCGUUACUGUUUUUUGUACACCAUGAUUUCUGCAUGGCAAGCUUCUGGAAACAUUGCUAUGUAAUCUGACAAUAGUGAAAUUAAACUACCGUAGAGGCUUUUUACACAGAGUAGCUCUGCUUGCUUAAGGAAAAGUUAGAACUGGAUCCAUAUUACAUCCAGAGUGGCAGUUAGGAUGUCUGUGUCACCACCUCCAGAAUCUAAGGCUUGUCUGCACAGGGAAAAUAAUCAGAAUAGUGUCCUGAAUAGCUCCCUGUGCUGAAACUCUCAGUCCAGAAUAACUCUGCCCACAAAGGGAAAUGUUCAGGAAUAGCUGCUAUGCUUUAAAUUCACACCAUCACUUAAUUCAAAAUAAUUUUCAAGUGUAGACAAGCCUUUGUUUUCUUGUUUAAUGAGUAGGUUAAGUUCAGGCUCUCUUUGAUUUUCCAUAGGGGAUUGAUGUUAACGACCCAUGUAAACUUUUCAUGAUGAAAGAAGUUAAAUUUUCUUUUUUCUCCUGAAUUUGAAGUGCUUCACACAAAUGGAUACCCCUGUAUUUACUUUCCUCAUCCAGAACACAAGAGUCUGACAGUGAAGAAGAAGAACCAGAAUGAAGUCCAAAGAAGGCAUAGGAAGACCACCCCUAGAAGGAGAGCAUGGAAAGAGUGGGACUGUUUAGAGAAAUGUCAGAAAUAGCAUAAGCCCUUGCCUCUAUUCAAGGAGAGAACAGACCAGGCAUUGAGGAAAGAAGAAAAUUUGCACAGAAGCUGAGAAUAAGAGGGACC